CUCCCUUCAUUCAAACAAACUUCCUGCAGCUGUUUAACAUUUACUGCGAGCAGUGCUCACCUAUUUGUUCAACCCCUGUAUAUAAUGGUUACAGCUUGCGCUGCACUGGAAUUGCAGGGCAGCAGGUUGGAUUUCUGCCGGUGAUCAGCAGUUGCAUUUUGAUUUUUCACAACUUUUCCUGGUUAGGUAUAAUAAAUGCAUAUAAAUUUCUACUCAAUAAUUUCCAUCUGUACAAGAUCGACCCUUCAACUAUUAUUCAAUUCUGU